CACGGGGGGAGCAAGCGUUGUUCGGAAUCAUUGGGCGUAAAGAGCGUGUAGGCGGCUCGAUAAGUCCGCUGUGAAAGUCCAGGGCUCAACCCUGGAAGGCCGGUGGAAACUGUCGGGCUAGAGUCCGGAAGAGGCGAGUGGAAUUCCCGGUGUAGCGGUGAAAUGCGCAGAUAUCGGGAGGAACACCAAUGGCGAAGGCAGCUCUCUGGGCCGAUACUGACGCUGAGGAGCGAAAGCGUGGGGAGCGAACAGG
rnacentral:rRNA from 1 species